GACGAACGCUGGCGGCGUGCUUAACACAUGCAAGUCGAACGGAAAGGCCCUGCUUUUGUGGGGUGCUCGAGUGGCGAACGGGUGAGUAACACGUGAGUAACCUGCCCUUGACUUUGGGAUAACUUCAGGAAACUGGGGCUAAUACCGGAUAGGAGCUCCUGCUGCAUGGUGGGGGUUGGAAAGUUUCGGCGGUUGGGGAUGGACUCGCGGCUUAUCAGCUUGUUGGUGGGGUAGUGGCUUACCAAGGCUUUGACGGGUAGCCGGCCUGAGAGGGUGACCGGCCACAUUGGGACUGAGAUACGGCCCAGACUCCUACGGGAGGCAGCAGUGGGGAAUAUUGCACAAUGGGCGGAAGCCUGAUGCAGCAACGCCGCGUGCGGGAUGGUGGCCUUCGGGUUGUAAACCGCUUUCGCCUGUGACGAAGCGUGAGUGACGGUAAUGGGUAAAGAAGCACCGGCUAACUAUGUG
rnacentral:rRNA from 1 species